UAGGGAAUCUUCCGCAAUGGGCGAAAGCCUGACGGAGCAACGCCGCGUGAGUGAUGAAGGUCUUCGGAUCGUAAAACUCUGUUAUUAGGGAAGAACAAAUGUGUAAGUAACUAUGCACGUCUUGACGGUACCUAAUCAGAAAGCCACGGCUAACUACGUGCCAGCAGCCGCGGUAAUACGUAGGUGGCAAGCGUUAUCCGGAAUUAUUGGGCGUAAAGCGCGCGUAGGCGGUUUCUUAAGUCUGAUGUGAAAAGCCCACGGCUCAACCGUGGAGGGUCAUUGGAAACUGGGAAACUUGAGUGCAGAAGAGGAAAGUGGAAUUCCAUGUGUAGCGGUGAAAUGCGCAGAGAUAUGGAGGAACACCAGUGGCGAAAGCGACUUUCUGGUCUGUAACUGACGCUGAUGUGCGAAAGCGUGGGGAUCAAACAGGAUUAGAUACCCUGGUAGUCCACGCCGUAAACGAUGAGUGCUAAGUGUUAGGGGGUUUCCGCCCCUUAGUGCUGCAGCUAACGCAUUAAGCACUCCGCCUGGGGAGUACGACCGCAAGGUUGAAACUCAAAUGAAUUGAC
rnacentral:rRNA from 1 species